UACGGAGGGUGCAAGCGUUAUCCGGAUUCACUGGGUUUAAAGGGUGCGUAGGUGGGUUGGUAAGUCAGUGGUGAAAUCCCCGAGCUUAACUUGGGAACUGCCAUUGAUACUAUUAAUCUUGAAUACCGUGGAGGUUAGCGGAAUAUGUCAUGUAGCGGUGAAAUGCCUAGAUAUGACAUAGAACACCAAUUGCGAAGGCAGCUGGCUACACGAAUAUUGACACUGAUGCACGAAAGCGUGGGGAUCAAACAGG
rnacentral:rRNA from 1 species